ACAUAACCAGAUAAAGACGACACGGCUCAUACGGAAAACUUGGAAGGGAAGCCCUAAAGUUUAGAUUGCACUACACAGACAGUUAAACAUUAUCAAAAUAAAAUGCACCCCCUCCAAAAAAUAAGGAUCCUGUGUGAUCUUGUUAUUUCCAUUAGUGUUGAAAAUUGUGCUUAAGCUGGGCAACUCUCCUGCUUGGUAAUGCCAUGAUUUAGAAGUUUGCUGAGCUACAGCUAUUUGCAGUUGUUAGAAUGAAAUGUCCUUUCAUCUCUGCAAUCUCAUUCAGUUCCCCCAGCAUUGUGGGGACGCAGGCGAACCACUAUAAAUAACUGAGCCUUUUCAUGCCAGCUGGUACAAAUACCAGCCACUUCGAACAAUCUGACCUUUCUUGGGGAUUCUGACCAAUCUGCAGAGGAAGAUGGGUUAUAUCUUUCAGGAUUUUCCAUGGUUAAGCUGUGACUCCUGCGCUGUUAAAUGUCAUCAAACAACAUUUCCAUUCAAAAGGGGCAUGUGCGGUGUGCAUUGAGGCUUGCCAAAAACAGGUAUCAACAGCCACCAGGUGCAAGUGUGGAAUGAGUCAAGCGUGAUAGCAUUUGGUCACCUGGCUAGUGCUUGUCUGAAGAGAUCAUGAACAUUGACCUCCUCAUCAGAGAAGAGAUGAUGGGCGCCAUGAAGCUGCUCUUAGCUUCUAUGUCUGGUCUUUCCUCAGCUCAUUUCCCCAGCUUCACACCACAUCAGACUGAAACUCCUAAAAAUCAGCUCUUGGGACUGCAAAGCUCAGAGUAACCCAGUCUGCUCCAAUGAGAGAUGUGUGCUGGACCCUCUGUCCCCUCUACUUUGCUCCUCAGCUUCUGCAGUGCCCCAGAGCAUCCAGCCACAAGGAACUUGUCCCUUUGUAAGCUGCGUUUUACACGCUUUUCCUUUGGUUUGAUACGUUUGUUAUUCAAACACAAAAAUGCGAUCGUUUUUGACAGCAGAAUAAAAUGAACCAAGUAUGUGCACAUGAAGCACUAUUGUUUAUUCCCCUGAUCUGUCUCCUGCCAGUGGGAUUUUUUAGUGCGAGGGUGGAAUAGAGGCGUUUUCAUCCCAAAAUGUCAAUAAUGGUCUGGAAUAAUGUUUUGAGGUAGUUUGGCACCAUAUUGUGAUACCCAUAGCAACCUUUAAAGAAAACCGAGCUGGACACUGCAACGGAAACUUUGCACCAUGUACAAUCUAAUUCACAACCCAAAUUUCCCAGAAGAAGCCACAGCUCAUUACCACACCUACAGAACCACUCCUGAAGGAGCACAGAUCUUCCUCUCAUUCCUCCUCCUCCUCUCCGGCUGACAGCCAGAACUGGUGCCCAACAAAAGGAUGCUGCUGUGAGGAAACAGCCAAGAAAAAGCAAAGCUGCUGAAGUGCUUUUCAGAAUUGGCUUAAAACAGUAAAUAUAUUGUGUAAUGAACAAGUUUGGAUAAAAGUAACAUCCCUACAGACAACAGAUCUUUGCUUGUUCACCAGAUUGAUCCCCUCUGUUACCACACCUGAGACUUAAUAUCAUGUAAAUCUCCGUAAAUUUCUGUCCUAAUGUAUUUCAAUGUAUCAAAACAAGCUGCGUAUACCAAAUCUGGUUUAUUUUACUAAAAACACUUGGACCCAACUCUAACAAUUUUGUAAGGUUACGCUGCUCAAGAUUAUUCUUUUGGUAGAAUUUGGUCAUGAUUUUAACACUAGUCCAAAGUACCUUGGAUUCCAAGAUGCUCAGCUUGUAGCAUUUGAGUUUUCCACAGGAGUCAAUGAGGCCAUUAUUCACGUGCUUAAAAUUAGGCAUAUGCUUAAGUGGUUUGCCUUUGGGAUAAAGAGCCCAUUUGGGACUCUUCGGUACUUAGCUCUGAUAAAAUCCAUCAAUCUUGCUUAGAUGAUUAAAACAAAAGCAUCUUUCUCAGAACUUCCAACAGAUGUUUUCAUAAAUUUUAACGUACUUCUUUUCCCUGUCUCAUUCAUUUCCAGUACAAGUAUUCCCUUAAAAGCUGAAUGAGGAAAUCUGUAAACUUAAUGGAGGAAAUUUAUUUGGAUAGAAAGACAUCUAAAGAAGCAUAACGGCACUUGCAAUGAUCUCCAGCCAAAUUCUGCACCCAUUAACUUUCUUUAUGCCUUUCGCCACUGCCAGAUGUAUCUGUGCAAAUGAGAUUUUCCAAAGUAACUAUUGUCUCCUCGGAAUCCCACAAAAUCCUUUCUAAUAGACUCUGAGCAGAGUUUUUAACAAACCAAGAGAGUGUAUAACUGCUCACUCCAUAUGUCUGAAGUGUAUUCAUCCUUCUACCCAUCCCAUUUCAUUCUGUCAACAACAUGCAUUUUGUCGAACCUCUUACUGCAAAUCAUUCAGUCAAUGAAACCGAAAGACAUUUCAGCACGUUUUUAUCAUCAGAAUGUAAUUUUGUGCAAAUCAUGCUGUCAACGGGAAAGAAUGCCAAAAGAAAAGUGAAAGAACCCAAACUCAUUUUGUCCACAAAAAAUAAAUUACAGUUUGCUUCUAUUUUGUGCACGAAGACAAACUGGAAACAGCAAAACUUCCCCAUCUGUGGACAAAAUUAAGAUUGAUCUCUUAAUUCAGGAGACCAAACAGUAUUUGGUAGAAAAACACCAACACUAUGAAGGACAGCUAAGAUGUAGCACUGUUUUUAUUGUAUGAGUGAAAUGGCACCUGAGAUAUUUUAUCCAUUGUAGCAAAACGUUCGGUGAUGGGCUCGAAUACAGGCAAGCAGGCCGAGCUGAAGAAAAACACAGAUGUUAUUUAAUUUUCCAACUGAUAAAUGGCUCGGGUUGCUCUGUAGGUGCAUAGAAUAAUAGAAUGGUUUGGGUUGGAAGGGACCUUAAAGGUCACCUAGUUCCAACCCGCCUGCCAUGGGCAGGGACACCUUCCGCUAGACGAGGUUGCUCAAAGCACCACAGUUCCAAUACCUGCCUUGCAAAUGCUCUCCAUCGCAGGACCCAAAUCAGUUUCUACCUCCCAGCUACUAAAGGGCCUUUUUUGCUGGUCCACAGCAGGGACAGGAUUCCUGACCCUCUGUUAAUUCCCAGCAAAACCCACCAAGGCAAAAAGUUUGGCUUCUCUAAAGGUGGAGUGAAAAUUGGCCACAGGGAACAGAAGAUUACAGGAGAACAGUGAACCAUUUGCUUUCCUACACCUGCUCAGGUUUUAGUUCAAGGUGUGACCAGCCAACUAUGAUUAUAAGAUAUUUUUUUUUAUAUAAGGAUGCUAUUUAAUUAUCUUCAAUAUUUUGAUGCUAUCUUUCUAUGAACUGGAGUUAUUUCUUUAUAUGGUGAAAACCAACAAUAGACUUCCUGGGCUUUUUGGAGAAUUUCACUGUGUUUUCAGAUCACCUUAUCCCUUCCAGUUCGUCAGUGAAUUGUUCAAAUAAGGCCUUGGAGAACUGACAGUCCCGAGGAGUUUGUGCGGUGCUGGAGGAGCAGAGGCAGUGGCUGCCAUCCAGCAUCUCAGAAAUCAGAAUGAGACUCACCACAUGCCAUUUUGGUACACACCGUGGGGGAGAACAGAUCAUUUUCUCCAUCAGUCCCCAAUCUUUACUGGGGAAAGCGACGACCCAGCCAAAUUCUCCGAGUCCUGCUCACCCACAAAAAGAGGGACGCGCUGAGAGAAGGUACGCAUUGUGCAGCGUUAAAAAUGUAACCGCUUUGAGACACGGGCCAACACACUGACACCAAAAGCUGGCAGCAAAUAUGUCGGAGGGAUCACGAAGUUGGCAUGAGAGGGUUUCAGCUAAUACAAGAGAUUAUUUUCAGGGCCUCGCUGCGUGCCAAGCACAACACAAAGCUGGGCUCAGAGAGCAGCUCUUCUGCUGGAGCCGCGGGGGGUGGCAGCGGCGCAGAGCAGGCGCUCGGGAGAAACCUGGCCUGGGUCUCGAUCUGGGGCUCUGCAGGGACCAGCUCCUUUUGGGCUGUGUCUCACUGCUGUGUGUCCCACCUGAGACUCUUUUUGCAACGGUCUGCCUGAAGUGCCUAUGGGAUGGGUCACCUUUCUGAUUUUCACACCCACAUUGACAUGGUAUUUGGAGGGGAACUUGGCGCAUCCCUUUGUCUGCACCAGGUUGCUCCAGCGAGCUUCAGAUUUGAAAGCCUUUGUUUUUGUCAACAUCAAGGACCUUCUGCAGGUAGUCUAAUGUUUAAUCCUUACCUGCCUUCCUAUCCAAGGCAGCCCCAAAGGCAACAAAGCAUUCAUUAAAAGCAUAAUGCAACUUUAAAGGAGGUAGAUAUAUUCAGUGGGAAGAAGUAUCCUGAGGAAUUAAAAAACAAUUUCAUAUCAUUUUGCUGUCCACUUCUCAUGGUGUUAUCUUGCCGUUUUGGUUGUGCUGACGGUGCUGCGUAUUGAAAGAAGGAUUCGCAUCUGCGAGGCACAGACAGCAAGCACUGCAAAGUGUUUGCUUGGGCUGGGUCAACAGAAAUUUUCCUCCUUUUAAAAGCUAUUGUGCUAAAGUCUCUCUGAAAAAGUGGACGAGGGCCCUGGCUGUGCCUUCAGGCUGGCCGUCCUUGUCCACUGGCACUAAAUGCCCUCACCCUGAUCAGUUCUGCUGAAUUUGUGCAUCCUCCUUUCCCCAACACUUUGUGCUGUGGCCGUCAGAACUGAGGUCUUGCUAACUAGCCAAAGUGAUUUAUUGUCUUCUGCUGUACAUCAGGAAUCUGCAAACUAAACUCUUUAAAUGUCUAACAUUUAAAAAUAUGUAUGUCUUCCAACACGCAAAACUAGAAGAUGCUCACAGGCUUUGAUGCUGGCACUUUCCAUUGCUCGUGUUUUGGUCAUAAUAAAAUCAUUUCUGCUAAUCA